rnacentral:SRP_RNA from 1 species
CGGUGGGCGGCACGACCAGCUCCUGUUGAACUCCCCCAGGUCCGGAAGGAAGCAAGGGUAGAUAGUUGAGCGGUGCGAUGUUUGCCCACCUUCU